rnacentral:rRNA from 1 species
CAGCAGCCACGGGAACACGUAGGGUGCGAGCGUUAAUCGGAAUUACUGGGCGUAAAGCGUGCGCAGGCGGUUCGUUAAGACAGAUGUGAAAUCCCCGGGCUUAACCUGGGAACUGCAUUUGUGACUGACGGGCUAGAGUAUGGCAGAGGGGGGUAGAAUUCCACGUGUAGCAGUGAAAUGCGUAGAGAUGUGGAGGAAUACCGAUGGCGAAGGCAGCCCCCUGGGCCAAUACUGACGCUUAUGCACGAAAGCGUGGGGAGCAAACAGGAUUAGAUACCCCCGUAGUCCCUGUCUCUUAUAC